UACGGAGGGAGCUAGCGUUGUUCGGAAUUACUGGGCGUAAAGCGCGCGUAGGCGGCUUUGUAAGUUAGAGGUGAAAGCCCGGGGCUCAACCCCGGAACUGCCUUUAAGACUGCAUCGCUUGAAUCCGGGAGAGGUGAGUGGAAUUCCGAGUGUAGAGGUGAAAUUCGUAGAUAUUCGCAGGAACACCAGUGGCGAAGGCGGCUUACUGGUCCAUUACUGACGCUGAGGUGCGAAAGCGUGGGGAGCAAACAGG
rnacentral:rRNA from 1 species